rnacentral:rRNA from 1 species
UACGUAGGUGGCGAGCGUUGUCCGGAUUUACUGGGCGUAAAGAGCGCGCAGGCGGUCGUUCAAGUCGCGUGUGAAAGCCCCCGGCUCAACUGGGGAGGGUCACGCGAUACUGAUCGACUCGAAGGCAGGAGAGGGAAGUGGAAUUCCCGGUGUAGUGGUGAAAUGCGUAGAUAUCGGGAGGAACACCAGUGGCGAAGGCGACUUCCUGGCCUGUUCUUGACGCUGAGGCGCGAAGGCUAGGGGAGCAAACGGG